GGUCAAGCAAAUAAGCGCACACGGUGGAUGCCUUGGCGAUAAGAGGCGAUGAAGGACGUGGUAGUCUGCGAUAAGCCUCGGCGAGCUGACAAACUAGCUUUGACCCGGGGAUUUCCGAAUGGGGAAACCCACCCGCUUUGCGGGUAUCUUGCGCUGAAUACAUAGGCGCAAGAGGCGAACCCGGGGAACUGAAACAUCUAAGUACCCGGAGGAAAAGAAAUCAACCGAGAUUCCCCCAGUAGCGGCGAGCGAACGGGGAACAGCCCUUAAGCUUUGCAAGUUCUAGUGGAAUGUUCUGGAAAGUUCGGCCAUAGACGGUGACAGCCCCGUACACGAAAGGGCUUGCAAAAGUGAAAUCGAGUAGGACGGAGCACGAGAAACUUUGUCUGAACAUGGGGGGACCAUCCUCCAAGGCUAAAUACUCCUUAUCGACCGAUAGUGAACCAGUACCGUGAGGGAAAGGCGAAAAGAACCCCUGUUAGGGGAGUGAAACAGAACCUGAAACCGUGUGCGUACAAGCAGUGGGAGCCCGUUUUCGAACGGGUGACUGCGUACCUUUUGUAUAAUGGGUCAGCGACUUACAUUUUGUAGCAAGGUUAACCGCAUAGGGGAGCCGCAGAGAAAUCGAGUCUUAAUAGGGCGCUUAGUUGCAGGAUGUAGACCCGAAACCGGGCGAUCUAGCCAUGGCCAGGUUGAAGGUCGGGUAAUGCCGACUGGAGGACCGAACCAACUUAUGUUGAAAAAUGAGUGGAUGAGCUGUGGCUAGGAGUGAAAGGCUAACCAAGCCCGGAGAUAGCUGGUUCUCCCCGAAAACUAUUUAGGUAGUGCCUCGUGUUUCACUUCCGGGGGUAGAGCACUGUAAUGGCUAGGGCCGCAUCUCGCGGUACCAACCCAUUGCAAACUCCGAAUACCGGAAAGUGCAAUCACGGGAGACAGACGGCGGGAGAUAAGUUUCGUCGUCGAAAGGGAAACAGCCCAGACCGCCGGCUAAGGUCCCCAAACACGUCUCAGUGGGAAACGAUGUGGGAAGUCUCAGACAGCCAGGAUGUUGGCUUAGAAGCAGCCAUCAUUUAAAGAAAGCGUAACAGCUCACUGGUCGAGUCGUCCUGCGCGGAAGAUAUACCGGGGCUCAAGACGUGUACCGAAGCCGCGGGUGCNNNNNNNNNNNNNNNNNNNNNNNNNNNNNNNNNNNNNNNNNNNNNNNNNNNNNNNNNNNNNNNNNNNNNNNNNNNNNNNNNNNNNNNNNNNNNNNNNNNNCGUCCUGCGCGGAAGAUAUACCGGGGCUCAAGACGUGUACCGAAGCCGCGGGUGCGUGCAUUCUUCGGAGUGCGCGCACGGUAGGGGAGCGUUCCGUAGCCCGUUGAAGGCGUGCCGUGAGGCAUGCUGGAGGCAUCGGAAGUGAGAAUGCUGACAUGAGUAGCGACAAUGCGGGUGAGAGGCCCGCACGCCGAAAGCCCAAGGUUUCCUGCGCAACGCUAAUCGGCGCAGGGUGAGUCGACCCCUAAGGCGAGGCCGAAAGGCGUAGUCGAUGGGAAUCAGGUUAAUAUUCCUGAACCGAAUAUAACUGCGACGGGGUGACGGAGAAGGCUAGGUCGGCCGGGUGUCGGAUAUCCCGGUUUAAGCGUGUAGGUUGGGAGCCCAGGAAAAUCCGGGCUUCCUUAAGACUGAGACGUGACGACGAGCGCCCUAACGGGCGCGAAGCGAUUGAUGCCAUGCUUCCAGGAAAACCCUCUAAGCUUCAGGUUGUAUUCGAUCGUACCCCAAACCGACACAGGUGGGCGGGGAGAGAAUCCCAAGGCGUUGAGAGAACUCUGGUGAAGGAACUCGGCAAAAUGACACCGUAACUUCGGGAGAAGGUGUGCCUCCGGUAGGUGAAGGGCUUCGCGCCCGGAGCCGAUGGGGGUUGCAACAAAGAGGUGGCUGCGACUGUUUACUAAAAACAUAGCACUCUGCAAACUCGCAAGAGGAAGUAUAGGGUGUGACGCCUGCCCGGUGCCGGAAGGUUAAGUGAUGGGGUUAGCCCUUGGGCGAAGCUCUUGAUCGAAGCCCCGGUGAACGGCGGCCGUAACUAUAACGGUCCUAAGGUAGCGAAAUUCCUUGUCGGGUAAGUUCCGACCUGCACGAAUGGCGUAACGAUGGCCACACUGUCUCCACCAGAGGCUCAGCGAAAUUGAACUCGCUGUGAAGAUGCAGCGUACCCGCGGCUAGACGGAAAGACCCCGUGAACCUUUACUACAGCUUCACACUGGACUUUGAGCACGCAUGUGCAGGAUAGGUGGAAGGCUUUGAAGCGGAGACGCCAGUCUUCGUGGAGCCAACCUUGAGAUACCACCCUUGCUUGUUUGGGGCCCUAACCGAGGCCCGUGAUCCGGGUCCGGGACCAUGUGUGGCGGGUAGUUUGACUGGGGCGGUCUCCUCCCAAAGAGUAACGGAGGAGCGCGAAGGUGCUCUAAGUGCGGUCGGAAAUCGCACGGCUAGUGCAAAGGCACAAGAGCGCUUGACUGCGAGACAGACACGUCGAGCAGGUGCGAAAGCAGGUCUUAGUGAUCCGGUGGUUCUGUAUGGAAGGGCCAUCGCUCAACGGAUAAAAGGUACUCCGGGGAUAACAGGCUGAUACCGCCCAAGAGUUCACAUCGACGGCGGUGUUUGGCACCUCGAUGUCGGCUCAUCACAUCCUGGGGCUGUAGCCGGUCCCAAGGGUAUGGCUGUUCGCCAUUUAAAGUGGUACGCGAGCUGGGUUUAGAACGUCGUGAGACAGUUUGGUCCCUAUCUGCCGUGGGCGCCGGAGACUUGAGAGGAGCUGCUCCCAGUACGAGAGGACCGGAGUGGACGUACCUCUGGUGUUCCGGUUGUGAUGCCAAUCGCAUUGCCGGGUAGCUAUGUACGGACGGGAUAACCGCUGAAAGCAUCUAAGCGGGAAGCCCCCCUCGAGAUUAGGUCUCCCCGGGGCCUUGCGCCCCCUGAAGGGUCGUUGAAGACUACAACGUUGAUAGGCUGGGUGUGGAAGUUCAGCAAUGAAUGAAGCUAACCAGUACUAAUUGCCCGUGCGGCUUGACCAU
rnacentral:rRNA from 1 species